UACGAAGGGGGCGAGCGUUGUUCGGAAUUACGGGGCGUAAAGGGCGCGUAGGCGGCGACUCAAGUUAGAUGUGAAAGUCCUGGGCUUAACCUGGGGACUGCAUUUGAUACUGGGUUGCUUGAAUUCGGGAGAGGAUAGCGGAAUUCCCAGUGUAGAGGUGAAAUUCGUAGAUAUUGGGAAGAACACCGGUGGCGAAGGCGGCUAUCUGGACCGACAUUGACGCUGAGGCGCGAAAGCGUGGGGAGCAAACAGG
rnacentral:rRNA from 1 species